AUUGUAACCCCUCUUUCAGCAAUAUCCCUUAAAACAAUCCCAUCCUUUCCUUUUUAGUAUAGAACCUUGUAGUACAAUUACAGAGAGAUCCAUAUACAUGUUCUUAAACCCAAGUUAUUGUUUGGAAACUAGAAAUGUGCUUCUUUUCGGCCCUUUUUUGGCCCCUUAUUCCUACAUAUUUUGGACAAUUAAUCCAAAACUAAAUCCCAGCCUCCCCUUUGUUAUAUGGAGUAUUGUGGUACAGUUUGAAAGAGAUCCAUACAAUUACACACAAGUUAUCGUCUUGAAAUAAGAAAAAUGCUUGUUUUGGGCCCCUUUUUGGCCCUUUAUUCCUAACUUUGAUUCCAUGACCCAUUUAAAGGAAUCCAAACCUUCUACUUGUGGUUUUAAACAUUAUGAUACAAUAUCAGAG
rnacentral:lncRNA from 1 species